rnacentral:lncRNA from 1 species
GUUAUGGAGAUAACUGGAUCAUAACCUCUCAUUAAGGUGAAUAGUAGUGAGUCCAUUAUUUUUGAUUGACAUUGUAGGCGCCAUCCGUCUGUGUUCUCUCUGAAUGAUGGAAUUAUCAUUCAUCAUAUGAUGACUCUAUUAUACUAUUUGAUGAUGGUUGGCUUGAUCGAGCCAUCUUCAGACCUGAUCAUUCAUUAGUUAGAAUCAUUGAGUA